GAAAUAUAAAUUAAUUAAGCUGCUAACUUAAUUCUUAGUGGUUAAACUCCAUUAAUAUUUCU
rnacentral:tRNA from 1 species